CUGAGACACGGCCCAGACUCCUACGGGAGGCAGCAGUGGGGAAUUUUGGACAAUGGGCGCAAGCCUGAUCCAGCCAUGCCGCGUGAGUGAAGAAGGCCUUCGGGUUGUAAAGCUCUUUCAGCCGGAAAGAAAUCGUGCAGAUUAAUACUUUGCAUGGAUGACGGUACCGGCAGAAGAAGCCCCCGCUAACUACGUGCCAGCAGCCGCGGUAAUACGUAGGGUGCGAGCGUUAAUCGGAAUUACUGGGCGUAAAGGGUGCGCAGGCGGUUUUUGUAAGCCAGAUGUGAAAUCCCCGGGCUUAACCUGGGAACUGCAUUUGGGACUGCAAGGCUAGAGUACGGCAGAGGGGGGGUAAAAUUCCCCGUUUAGCAGUGAAAUGCGUAGAGAUGUUGGAGGAAAUACCGAUGGGCGAAAGGCAGCCCCCUGGGUCGAUACUGACGCUCAAGCACGAAAGCGUGGGGAGCAAACAAGAUUAAAUACCC
rnacentral:rRNA from 1 species